GUUCUUACUCCUAAUGACGACAGUACUGAUACAAUGAAGGACAAUUCCCCGCAUUCAGCUGAGGAAAAUGUGGGCAUCCUGGACCAAUUAUCACCAAAAGUUAGGAAUCGUGUGGAAUAUCUCAUAGAAGUUCAGGAAGCCUUUGAUAAGGUGCUGGAUGAGUUAUUUGAGGAGCUAUCACGGUUGGAGGAUAAAUACGAGAAGCUAUUUGCG